GGGCCCCGGCGGGAGCAGUAGGCCCCUCGCCGGCGUGUGUGCCUCACGUCUGCUCCCUCGUCGGAUUCGUCUUCCAAACAGCUGCCACGUUGCUGUUGUCCAAAGUGACCUGUGUCCCUGCUCCCAGUGAAGCAUCUUCGGUGACGCCUCCAUUCUGUCAUGUCACCGGGCAUUUCUCAAGAGCCUGCUCCAUGCUUAGCACUCUGAUAAGCGCUGAGGCCACAAAGAAAGGCAAAAGACAGAGCUGGAGAACAUUUUCUUCCAGUUACACGAUUCAGUGGCCCAGGGGUGGAAGGGGGAAGAGUCAGCUCCUGUAUCAGGAACUGAAGAUUGAGAUUGAGAUCGAGAUUGAGAAACUGAGGGAUCCAGCUAGUUGCCCUCUUUGUAAGUGGGGUUGACACUACUCUGUCUGCCAGUGAUGCCUGUGACCAGCCAGUCCCCUGAGAAUACUGCUGCCCCUGGAUCUACUUGGAUGGG